AAGCUCCCUCCCCACCUCCUCUGAGUGGCUUUUGAUGCUGUCACAUAUUUCACACUCCGCCAGGAGAAUAAAACCACUGAAAGGCUUUGGGUAAGAAGAAAAUAUUGAGGACUUCCUAGUUGAUGAUAAAAACAGGACUCAACAUUGGACAUGCAGCCGGUACUCAACAAAUGCCCACGGACUGAGCUGAGCGAGUUCUGAGAUGAUGCAAGACUAACUGCUGACUUUGUUGGAUUUUCUUCUAUGGUUUAUCAUCUCUUUUUAGAGGAGGAA